rnacentral:rRNA from 1 species
GACGAACGCUGGCGGCGUGCUUAACACAUGCAAGUCGAACGGAAAGGCCCUGCUUUUGUGGGGUGCUCGAGUGGCGAACGGGUGAGUAACACGUGAGUGACCUGCCCUUGACUUUGGGAUAACUUCAGGAAACUGGGGCUAAUACCGGAUAGGAGCUCCUGCUGCAUGGUGGGGGUUGGAAAGUUUCGGCGGUUGGGGAUGGACUCGCGGCUUAUCAGCUUGUUGGUGGGGUAGUGGCUUACCAAGGCUUUGACGGGUAGCCGGCCUGAGAGGGUGACCGGCCACAUUGGGACUGAGAUACGGCCCAGACUCCUACGGGAGGCAGCAGUGGAGAAUAUUGCACAAUGGGCGGAAGCCUGAUGCAGCAACGCCGCGUGCGGGAUGACGGCCUUCGGGUUGUAAACCGCUUUCGCCUGUGACGAAGCGUGAGUGACGGUAAUGGGUAAAGAAGCACCGGCUAACUACGUG